rnacentral:rRNA from 1 species
GACGAACGCUGGCGGCGUGCUUAACACAUGCAAGUCGAACGGAAAGGCCCUGCUUUUGUGGGGUGCUCGAGUGGCGAACGGGUGAGUAACACGUGAGUAACCUGCCCUUGACUUUGGGAUAACUUCAGGAAACUGGGGCUAAUACCGGAUAGGAGCUCCUGCUGCAUGGUGGGGGUUGGAAAGUUUCGGCGGUUGGGGAUGGACUCGCGGCUUAUCAGCUUGUUGGUGGGGUAGUGGCUUACCAAGGCUUUGACGGGUAGCCGGCCUGAGAGGGUGACCGGACAAAUGGGGAUGGAGAGAGGGCCGAGACUAGAGGGGGAGGAGAGGGGGGAGAAGGGUACAGAGGGGGGGGGGGCAAGGUAGGACAACGCCGGGUGGGGGAGGAGGGCUUGGGGUUGGGAAACCGCUUCCGCCGGAGACGAGGGGGGAGGGACGGUAAUGGGAAAAGAAGCACCGGCUAACUCCGUG